AUUGAACGCUGGCGGCAUGCCUUACACAUGCAAGUCGAACGGCAGCGGACCUUCGGGUGCCGGCGAGUGGCGAACGGGUGAGUAAUAUAUCGGAACGUACCUUUCAGUGGGGGAUAACUUAGCGAAAGUUACGCUAAUACCGCAUAUUCUGUGAGCAGGAAAGCAGGGGAUCGCAAGACCUUACGCUGAUUGAGCGGCCGACAUCAGAUUAGCUAGUUGGUGAGGUAAAGGCUCACCAAGGCGACGAUCUGUAGCGGGUCUGAGAGGAUGAUCCGCCACACUGGAACUGGGACACGGUCCAGACUCCUACGGGAGGCAGCAGUGGGGAAUUUUGGACAAUGGGCGCAAGCCUGAUCCAGCCAUGCCGCGUGAGUGAAGAAGGCCU
rnacentral:rRNA from 1 species